GAUGAACGCUGGCGGCGUGCUUAACACAUGCAAGUCGAACGAAGCGCCUUGGACAGAUUCUUCGGAUGAAGUCUUUGGUGACUGAGUGGCGGACGGGUGAGUAACGCGUGGGUAACCUGCCUCAUACAGGGGGAUAACAGUUAGAAAUGGCUGCUAAUACCGCAUAAGCGCACGGUACUGCAUGGUACAGUGUGAAAAACUCCGGUGGUAUGAGAUGGACCCGCGUUGGAUUAGCUAGUUGGCAGGGUAACGGCCUACCAAGGCGACGAUCCAUAGCCGGCCUGAGAGGGUGGACGGCCACAUUGGGACUGAGACACGGCCCAGACUCCUGCGGGAGGCAGCAGUGGGGAAUAUUGCACAAUGGGGGAAACCCUGAUGCAGCGACGCCGCGUGAGCGAAGAAGUAUUUCGGUAUGUAAAGCUCUAUCAGCAGGGAAGAAAAUGACGGUACCUGACUAAGAAGC
rnacentral:rRNA from 1 species